AUGGUGGAGCCCUCAUGAAUGACAUGAGCACCUUUAUAAGAAACCUCAGAGAGCUAUCUUGCCUCUUCCACACUGUGAGGUUAUAGUAAGAAGAGCCACGAAUGAGAAAACAUGUCCCCAUUAGACACCAAAUCUGCCAAUGCCAAUGUCUUGAUCUUUUUUAUUUAACCACUGAGCCAUGUCCCCAGCCCUUUGUAAAAAUAUUUUAUUUAGAGACAGGCUCUCACUGAGUGGUUGAGGCUGGCUCUGAACUCACUAUCCUCCUGCCUCCACCUCCUGAGCUGCUGGCAUUAAAUGCAUGCAUUACUGUGCCCAGCCAAUGUCUUGAUCUUGGAUUUUCUAGCCACCAGACUGUGAGAAACAAAUUUAUGUGGUUUGUAAAUUACCUACUUCUUGGGUAUUUUUUAACAGCUGUAAAAUGUCUUAAGACAUAUACCAGUUAAAAGGUAAGAGAUUGUUAGAGGAUAUUUAAAAUCAAAACUCAACUAUAUGUUGUCUAUAAGAAACCCACUUUUGAUAAAAGAUACACAUAUACAUUAAAAGUAAAGAGAUGGAAAAAGAAAUACCAUGCCAACUGUAAUAAAAGGAGAGAGGGGUAGCUAUGCUAAUUUCAGACACAGCAGACUUCAGAGCAAGGAGAGUGAUCAGGGAUAAGAAUGGCAUUACACAAAGGAGGUCAAUACUACAAGAAAGCAGCAAUCCUUAACAUAUUUGGCAUCGCAACAAAGUAUCAACACAUUCCUUUAACUAAUAAGCAAUUAUAGCAAGAUUUCAGGAUACAAGUUUAACUGCAGAAGUCAAUAAUUUUUCUACAUACUAGCAAAGAACAAAUGAAAUUAAAAACACAUUGCUAUUUACGUUAGUAUUCCCAAAAUGAAAUACUUAGGUGUGAAUCUAACAAAAUAUGUGCAAGAUAUGUACAUAUAAAACUGAUUAAAGAUAUCAAAGAGGCACUAAAUAGAUGGAGAAAUAUUGCAGGUUUAUGAUCGAAAGAUUCAGUUUUGUCAAGAUGUCAGUUCUUCCUAACUUGAUCUGGGGAUGUAGCUCUGUGGUAGAGUGCUCACUCAGCAUGUGCUAGGCCCUUCUUUUUUUGUGUGUGUGUGCUGGGGUUUGGGUUGUGACUCAGUGGUAGAGUGCUCGCCUAGCAUGCAUGAGGCACUGGGUUCAAUCCUCAGUACCACAUACAAAUAAAAUAAAGAUAUUGUGUCCACCUAAAACU
rnacentral:lncRNA from 1 species